rnacentral:rRNA from 1 species
ACUGAUUUGAAGAGCUUGCUCAGAUAUGACGAUGGACAUUGCAAAGAGUGGCGAACGGGUGAGUAACACGUGGGAAACCUACCUCUUAGCAGGGGAUAACAUUUGGAAACAGAUGCUAAUACCGUAUAACAAUGACAACCGCAUGGUUGUUAUUUAAAAGAUGGUUCUGCUAUCACUAAGAGAUGGUCCCGCGGUGCAUUAGCUAGUUGGUAAGGUAAUGGCUUACCAAGGCGAUGAUGCAUAGCCGAGUUGAGAGACUGAUCGGCCACAAUGGGACUGAGACACGGCCCAUACUCCUACGGGAGGCAGCAGUAGGGAAUCUUCCACAAUGGGCGAAAGCCUGAUGGAGCAACGCCGCGUGUGUGAUGAAGGGUUUCGGCUCGUAAAACACUGUUGUAAGAGAAGAAUGACAUUGAGAGUAACUGUUCAAUGUGUGACGGUAUCUUACCAGAAAGGAACGGCUAAAUACGUGCCAGCAGCCGCGGUAAUACGUAUGUUCCAAGCGUUAUCCGGAUUUAUUGGGCGUAAAGCGAGCGCAGACGGUUAUUUAAGUCUGAAGUGAAAGCCCUCAGCUCAACUGAGGAAUUGCUUUGGAAACUGGAUGACUUGAGUGCAGUAGAGGAAAGUGGAACUCCAUGUGUAGCGGUGAAAUGCGUAGAUAUAUGGAAGAACACCAGUGGCGAAGGCGGCUUUCUGGACUGUAACUGACGUUGAGGCUCGAAAGUGUGGGUAGCAAACAGGAUUAGAUACCCUGGUAGUCCACACCGUAAACGAUGAGUGCUAGGUGUUUGAGGGUUUCCGCCCUUAAGUGCCGCAGCUAACGCAUUAAGCACUCCGCCUGGGGAGUACGACCGCAAGGUUGAAACUCAAAGGAAUUGACGGGGACCCGCACAAGCGGUGGAGCAUGUGGUUUAAUUCGAAGCAACGCGAAGAACCUUACCAGGUCUUGACAUCCCUUGACAACUCCAGAGAUGGAGCGUUCCCUUCGGGGACAAGGUGACAGGUGGUGCAUGGUUGUCGUCAGCUCGUGUCGUGAGAUGUUGGGUUAAGUCCCGCAACGAGCGCAACCCUUAUUACUAGUUGCCAGCAUUCAGUUGGGCACUCUAGUGAGACUGCCGGUGACAAACCGGAGGAAGGUGGGGAUGACGUCAAAUCAUCAUGCCCCUUAUGACCUGGGCUACACACGUGCUACAAUGGCGUAUACAACGAGUUGCCAACCCGCGAGGGUGAGCUAAUCUCUUAAAGUACGUCUCAGUUCGGAUUGUAGGCUGCAACUCGCCUACAUGAAGUCGGAAUCGCUAGUAAUCGCGGAUCAGCACGCCGCGGUGAAUACGUUCCCGGGUCUUGUACACACCGCCCGUCACACCAUGAGAGUUUGUAACACCCAAAGCCGGUGGGGUA